AGGACUGUGUGAAAAAGAUAAAUAUCGACUUGACGCCUAUAGCGUCGGCGCCGAAUUUCCUAUUUUCACUUUGUCCU
rnacentral:ncRNA from 1 species